rnacentral:lncRNA from 1 species
GGCGGGGGCGGGGCCGGGGCCGGGCUGGCGAGGCCGGGCCGGGCCGCAGGGCGGCCGCGGGGAUGCGGGGCUGGCGGAGGAACCUCGCGCUCUGCCUGCAGCGGCUGCCGGACGAAGCAAAUGCUUCCAGAGGACCCCUUUCCAACUUCCCCUCCCCAGGCUCUGGCUAGUCUCUGCACACAAUCAGAAAAAUAAAAGCCAGUCCUUAGCUUCAAGUUGCCCCCAAUCCCUCAGAUAACAAAAGUUCAAGGUGCUCAGUGCUUGGGGAGUGUGGAGUUGAGGGCGGCAGCAAAUUCCUGUCGGGGAGACUGCUCAGAGGAGGAAGGCGCUGCGACCCAGUUGAGAAGGUCAGAUUUCCACCGGCAGAUUCUUCCUGUGGUGUGGCCUGAUUAAUUUCCCUCCUUAUGCUGGUCCUUUCUGUCUCUAAUAGACCCUUGAAAUGUUAGCCAGAAGUGUUAUAGAAGUCAUCAGAUCCAAGCCUCUUAUUAGAGAGAUGGGGGAAACAUAGAUGCAGCAAGAAGGAAACAACUUUUUAUUCAUGCAACAAAUAUUUACUGGGCCUUGUUCUGGGUAUUGGGGGAUAAAGCAGUGAACAAGACAAAGACCCUGUGGAACAGAGUAAACUAGAGUUUACAUUCUAGAGGGGGAGACAAAGAACAAGUGAGCAAAUAAAUGUGAGUGGGAGAGUUUCAGAGAGUCAUCAAUGAUAUGAAGACAACACAGGAAUACAGGGUGAUGUAGAAGAGAGUCCUGGGGGAGGGGGCUUCUAUAGACAGGAUGGUCUAGGAUGGUCAGGGAGGCAUCCCUGGAAGGUGACUUUGAGCUGGCACUAAAGAGUGAGAAGGCUCAGCCACACAAAGAGCAGAAGGAAAAGCAAUGCAGGCGGAGGGAACAGCAAAUAUAAAGAAAAGCCAGGGUUUUCAGGGAGUUGUGUGGGGAGGACAGUUUGACCUGUUGGAGGAAUAGAAAAAAGAAUUUAGGAAGGGAGAGAAUGAUAAGGUUGGAGGAACCAGAUCAUGAACAAUCAGAUCAGUGUAGGGCCUUGACUGCCAUGUAAA